GAUACGCUGGCGGCGUGCCUAAUACAUGCAAGUCGAACGCACAGCGAAAGGUGCUUGCACCUUUCAAGUGAGUGGCGAACGGGUGAGUAACACGUGGACAACCUGCCUCAAGGCUGGGGAUAACAUUUGGAAACAGAUGCUAAUACCGAAUAAAACUUAGUGUCGCAUGACACAAAGUUAAAAGGCGCUUCGGCGUCACCUAGAGAUGGAUCCGCGGUGCAUUAGUUAGUUGGUGGGGUAAAGGCCUACCAAGACAAUGAUGCAUAGCCGAGUUGAGAGACUGAUCGGCCACAUUGGGACUGAGACACGGCCCAAACUCCUACGGGAGGCUGCAGUAGGGAAUCUUCCACAAUGGGCGAAAGCCUGAUGGAGCAACGCCGCGUGUGUGAUGAAGGCUUUCGGGUCGUAAAGCACUGUUGUAUGGGAAGAACAGCUAGAAUAGGAAAUGAUUUUAGUUUGACGGUACCAUACCAGAAAGGGACGGCUAAAUACGUGCCAGCAGCCGCGGUAAUACGUAUGUCCCGAGCGUUAUCCGGAUUUAUUGGGCGUAAAGCGAGCGCAGACGGUUUAUUAAGUCUGAUGUGAAAGCCCGGAGCUCAACUCCGGAAUGGCAUUGGAAACUGGUUAACUUGAGUGCAGUAGAGGUAAGUGGAACUCCAUGUGUAGCGGUGGAAUGCGUAGAUAUAUGGAAGAACACCAGUGGCGAAGGCGGCUUACUGGACUGCAACUGACGUUGAGGCUCGAAAGUGUGGGUAGCAAACAGGAUUAGAUACCCUGGUAGUCCACACCGUAAACGAUGAACACUAGGUGUUAGGAGGUUUCCGCCUCUUAGUGCCGAAGCUAACGCAUUAAGUGUUCCGCCUGGGGAGUACGACCGCAAGGUUGAAACUCAAAGGAAUUGACGGGGACCCGCACAAGCGGGGGAGCAUGUGGUUUAAUUCGAAGCAACGC
rnacentral:rRNA from 1 species